rnacentral:rRNA from 1 species
GGGAACUCAAGGGAGACUGCCGGUGAUAAACCGGAGGAAGGUGGGGAUGACGUCAAGUCAUCAUGGCCCUUACGGCCAGGGCUACACACGUGCUACAAUGGCGCGUACAGAGGGCUGCAAGCUAGCGAUAGUGAGCGAAUCCCAAAAAGCGCGUCGUAGUCCGGAUCGGAGUCUGCAACUCGACUCCGUGAAGUCGGAAUCGCUAGUAAUCGCAAAUCAGAAUGUUGCGGUGAAUACGUUCCCGGUCCUUGUACACACCGCCCGUCACACCAUGGGAGUGGNUUGCACCCAGAAGUAGAUAGCUAA